rnacentral:ncRNA from 16 species
GCUUACGUCCACCUUUCAGGUGCCUCAUCACGUUAUCUGAGGUUAAUCGGGAAGUCGGUGAUCGCUCCGCUCUUCAUGAUGAACGGAGAACAAUCCGACGCUGCCCCCGCAACGGUGAUCGAGUCUGGGUCCAUCACUACGCCACUGUGCACUGGCAUGGGAAGGCGAUGGUCCUGAAGCUGGCCUGUUCUACAUGCCGCUUCGCUCGUAAGCCCGGAGACCGGCCUGAGAGUUCAGGAAACGC